CGGGAUGAGGGCGGGGCGAUUGGGGGUUGGAGAAGAGCGUGCGCGCACGGCAACCAGAUGUGAGGGUCCGAGCGGUGCCUGGUCUUAACCCGCCCGCUGGGCAGCGUCAGGUGUAGCACCCGCAGAACCUCUAGCACUUCCGGAGAGAGAAACUUGAGGGAAGGCCAUGUCUAGUGAGCCUAGAGAGCCCGGAAAAGCAAGCCCUCUCCAACACCCUAAAACGAAAACCCAGAUGCCCUUCAGGACAACCGGCCACCACCCAAAGCACAGAACAGCGAAUCUCCAGUCGGGAGACCCGUUUACUCCUGACUGCUUUUGUCCUCCGUUUCCUUAAGGAGUUGAAUUUAUAUCAUCAAAGGCUCUUGUUCAAGGGAUGUGUCCAUUGUGAUACUCACUAAAAACAAAAAAACCUUUUUAAGGAAGAAAGAAAGAAAAAAAGAAAAAGAAAAGGAAGAAAAGAAUGCCAGGCACACAAUAGGACUGUACUUUCCUGAAGUUAGUCAUGGCCAUCUGACCUGCUUUGGCCAAUGAAAUAAGAGCAACAUGUCCCUUCAAGGUGGAAGUAUUUGACUGUGGGUGCUCAGCUCUCUAUCCUUAAUUAUUCCUUACCUUGAUGAUUGUGGGAGUGUGAGGUGCAACAGUGAGCCAUCAUAUAAUGGACAACUGCCCUGGAGAGUUCUGUAGGCCUACAGUAAACUUUGAGUAAGUAAGAAUAAAUCUUGGUUGUGUUAAUCCGCUGAGAUUAUGGAGUUGUUUGUCUUAUCAGCAGAACCUAGCCUAUCCUUCCUGAUUUAAGACUGAUUGUAUACUAGAUGGUUGUGCUGGUGGGCACAGUGAGAGACAUAAGGAAACAGUUAUAGCCCUUGCCAAAAAAGUUCCUGCAAAUUAGUUAAAGUAUGUAGAUUGGGAGUUAAUGGGCCAAGGGGCUAGAAAACUGCACUGGAGGCAUGAUUCAGUGGAGUUUUAAAUGCUGAAACACUGAGACAACAUUGUACAGUAGGAAAAUGAAUUUAAGGAAGUAUAAAGCCCUACCCACAAAGAGCUGAUAUCUAGUUCCAUAAUUCUCCAACCAGGAAUCCAGACUCUUAGAAGUUAAGUAGUGAAAAAAAAAAAAAAGUUAAGUAGUGAUAUACCAAAAAGGGACAAAAAGACUGAAGAUAAAAGGCUUUGGGGAGUGUCUAGUUAACUCAUGCUAUAUUAUUUAAUAUGUAAGAUAUGUCUUUAUAUAUGUAUUUAUUUUUUUUUAAGAUUUUGUGUAUUUAUUUGAGAGAGAGAAUGAGAGAGAGAGAGAGCAUGAGAGGGGGCAGGGUCAGAGGGAGAAGCAGACUCCCCGCUGAGCAGGGAGUCCGAUGCGGGACUCGAUCCUGGGACUCCAGUAUCAUGACCUGAGCCUAAGGCAGUCGCUUAACCAAUUCAGCCACCCAGGCACCCUAUACAUAUAUAUUUUAAAUGAUGUAUAGAGGGGUGCCUGGGUGGCUCAGUCAGUUAAGUGGCCAACACUUGAUUUCAGCUCAGGUCACUGAUCUCAGGGUCCUGGGAUCGAGCCCUGCGUCUGGUUCUGCACUCAGCAAGGAGUCUGCUUGAGUUUCUCCCUCUCCCUCUGCCCCUUCCCUGGCUCACAAGCUCUCUCGCUCUCUCUCAAGUAAAUAAAUCUUUAAAAAAAUGAUAUAUAGAAUGAAAAAUUGACAUAAAUUUUAAGGUAAAAGAUACAA